CCACUUCUAUCACCAAUGCCACCGCCACUACCAAGACCACUCCUGACACAAAGCCCCCUAGUCCUCAACUGACCAGAUAUUGCAGCUGGAGGAUAGACCAGGAACUUCAAAGCCAGGGCUUGCCGGUCUCCUACAUUAAGAAAAAUGCCAUGGGCCCAUCUAAUGAACUUGUAGUAGAAUAUUUGGCCACAGUUGUAGAAAUGCAGAGACUCACAUACUGCCACAGGUGAGGCUUUGUCCACAGUUCCAGAAAGACACAAGAUAGUAUCAGAAAGCCAUGCCAUAAUCAACGACUGAAGGGUUUGGAGAGCCAGAUAAAGAGCCUAGAAUUGUGAUUUAACCGUACUUCAAUCACAUGAACAGUAGUAGGAGCAAAAACAGCAGCAAACACACAGGAGAUGUAACAACUACAUUGACCAACAGCAACAACUACAGCAGCAUCAACAAUUUUUG